GUAGGUGGCAAGCGUUGUCCGGAAUUAUUGGGCGUAAAGCGCGCGCAGGCGGUUCUUUAAGUCUGAUGUGAAAGCCCACGGCUCAACCGUGGAGGGUCAUUGGAAACUGGAGAACUUGAGUACAGAAGAGGAAAGCGGAAUUCCACGUGUAGCGGUGAAACGCGUAGAGAUGUGGAGGAACACCAGUGGCGAAGGCGGCUUUCUGGUCUGUAACUGACGCUGAGGCGCGAAAGCGUGGGGAGCAAACAGGGAUUAGAUACCCUGGUAGUCCACGCCGUAAACGAUGAGUGCUAAGUGUUAGGGGGUUUCCGCCCCCUUAGUGCUGCAGCUAACGCAUUAAGCACUCCGCCUGGGGAUACGGCCGCAAGGCUG
rnacentral:rRNA from 1 species